rnacentral:rRNA from 1 species
UACGUAGGGUGCGAGCGUUAAUCGGAAUUACUGGGCGUAAAGUAUGCGCAGGCGGCCGAGCAAGUCGAGUGUGAAAGCCCCGAGCUUAACUUGGGAACUGCGCUCGAAACUACUUGGCUAGAGUGUGGCAGAGGGAGGUGGAAUUCCACGUGUAGCGGUGAAAUGCGCAGAUAUCAGGAGGAACACCGGUGGCGAAGGCGGUUCUCUGGGCAUGAUCUGACGCUGAGGAGCGAAAGUGUGGGGAGCGAACAGG